CUGCUGAGACCCGAAAGAUGGUGAUCUAUGACUGAAUAGGGUGAAGUCAGGGGAAACUCUGAUGGAAGCUCGAAGGGAUUCUGACGUGCAAAUCGAUCCUCAAAUUUGGUUAUAGGGGCGAAAGACUCAUCGAAUCAUUGAGUAGCUGGUUCCCUCCGAAGUUUCCCUCAGGAUAGCUGGAGUAUAUAUUUUAUAAAUGAUAAGUUAGAUUAGGUAAAGCGAAUGAUUAGAAGUAUGGGGAAAAAAAUUUUUCUUCACUUAUUCUCAAACUUUAAAUAGGUCUAUAUUAUAAGAAUAAAAUUAAUUUUAUUUUUAUUGAAAAGAAGAAUUUUGAAAAACUCUUUGUGGGCCAUUCCUGGUAAGCAGGACUGGCGAUGUGGGAUGAACCAAACGUAAAAGUUAAAGUGCCUAAAUUUUUAAUGCUCAUUCUAGAUACCAUAAAAGGUGUGGCUUGAUCUAGACAGAAGGACGGUGGUCAUGGAAGUCGAAAUCCGCUAAGAAGUGUGUAAA
rnacentral:rRNA from 1 species